rnacentral:rRNA from 1 species
AGCGAACGCUGGCGGCAGGCUUAACACAUGCAAGUCGAGCGGGCAUCCUUGUGGUGUCAGCGGCAGACGGGUGAGUAACGCGUGGGAACGUGCCCUUCGGUUCGGAAUAACUCUGGGAAACUUGAGCUAAUACCGGAUACGUUCGAGAGCAGAAAGGUUUAUCUGCCGAAGGAUCGGCCCGCGUCUGAUUAGCUAGUUGGUGAGGUUAUGGCUCACCAAGGCGACGAUCAGUAGCUGGUCUGAGAGGAUGAUCAGCCACACUGGGACUGAGACACGGCCCAGACUCCUACGGGAGGCAGCAGUGGGGAAUAUUGGACAAGGGGGGCAACCCUGAUCCAGCCAUGCCGCGUGAGUGAUGACGGCCAUAGGGUUGUAAAGCUCUUUUCUCCGGGACGAUAAUGACGGUACCGGAGGAAUAAGCCCCGGCUAACUUCGUG